rnacentral:rRNA from 1 species
ACACUCCUACGGGAGGCAGCAGUGGGGAAUAUUGGACAAUGGGCGCAAGCCUGAUCCAGCCAUGCCGCGUGAGUGAUGAAGGCCCUAGGGUUGUAAAGCUCUUUCACCGGUGAAGAUAAUGACGGUAACCGGAGAAGAAGCCCCGGCUAACUUCGUGCCAGCAGCCGCGGUAAUACGCAGGGGGCUAGCGUUGUUCGGAUUUACUGGGCGUAAAGCGCACGUAGGCGGACUAUUAAGUCAGGGGUGAAAUCCCGGGGCUCAACCCCGGAACUGCCUUUGAUACUGGUAGUCUUGAGUUCGAGAGAGGUGAGUGGAAUUCCGAGUGUAGAGGUGAAAUUCGUAGAUAUUCGGAGGAACACCAGUGGCGAAGGCGGCUCACUGGCUCGAUACUGACGCUGAGGUGCGAAAGCGUGGGGAGCAAACAGGAUUAGAUACCCGAGUAGUCCC